rnacentral:sRNA from 1 species
GUAGGGAAAAUUUAGGUUGUCUGAUUGUUAAAAAUCGAUUUUGAAGCAAAAUUUUAACAGGGCUUAAAAAACACUUAUAGGUCGAUUUCGGGUUGUCUGAUUGUAUAAAAGGCCUUUUAAAAAUUCUGAACUAAAAACUUUUUAAAGGUAUAAAUUUAUGUAUCCAUAUGGGUUUUCGGGUUUUUUUUUACACAUUUUUUAUCAUGAAAAAAGUUACUUUAUUCAACGAAACUUAAUAAAAAGUGUACCUAUUAUAAAUUUUUAAAUUAAAAUAUUAUCUAUCUCUAUAAAUCUUUUAGUGUUACAUUAUAUCGAUAUACAAAUCCAUUUAAACUUAUUUUUCAUUUAAGGAUAAAUAUCUUUCAGGCCCGAUAGCGGGAAAAAUCGGGCCUGAGAAGAAAGAUCUUAAUAUCCUUGAAGUACAAUAUAAUUAAAGUUUGAAUUUUAAUUAAUAUAGGAGUAUUAUUAUAUAUAUUUAUAUUAAUUUAUAGGACUCAUUCUAAUUAUAUGUUAAAUUAUUUUCUUUAGAAUGAGUCUAUGUAAGUAUUAUAAUAUAUUACAUAUAUGAAAUUGUUAUUAAUGUGUUGUUUCUAUUUUUAUUUAAGGAUAAAUAUCUUUCAGGCCCGAUAGCGGGAAAAAUCGGGCCUGAGAAGAAAGAUCUUAAUAUCCUUGAAGUACAAUAUAAUUAAAGUUUGAAUUUUAAUUAAUAUAGGAGUAUUAUUAUAUAUAUUUAUAUUAAUUUAUAGGACUCAUUCUAAUUAUAUGUUAAAUUAUUUUCUUUAGAAUGAGUCUAUGUAAGUAUUAUAAUAUAUUACAUAUAUGAAAUUGUUAUUAAUGUGUUGUUUCUAUUUUUAUUUAAGGAUAAAUAUCUUUCAGGCCCGAUAGCGGGAAAAAUCGGGCCUGAGAAGAAAGAUCUUAAUAUCCUUGAAGUACAAUAUAAUUAAAGUUUGAAUUUUAAUUAAUAUAGGAGUAUUAUUAUAUAUAUUUAUAUUAAUUUAUAGGACUCAUUCUAAUUAUAUGUUAAAUUAUUUUCUUUAGAAUGAGUCUAUGUAAGUAUUAUAAUAUAUUACAUAUAUGAAAUUGUUAUUAAUGUGUUGUUUCUAUUUUUAUUUAAGGAUAAAUAUCUUUCAGGCCCGAUAGCGGGAAAAAUCGGGCCUGAGAAGAAAGAUCUUAAUAUCCUUGAAGUACAAUAUAAUUAAAGUUUGAAUUUUAAUUAAUAUAGGAGUAUUAUUAUAUAUAUUUAUAUUAAUUUAUAGGACUCAUUCUAAUUAUAUGUUAAAUUAUUUUCUUUAGAAUGAGUCUAUGUAAGUAUUAUAAUAUAUUACAUAUAUGAAAUUGUUAUUAAUGUGUUGUUUCUAUUUUUAUUUAAGGAUAAAUAUCUUUCAGGCCCGAUAGCGGGAAAAAUCGGGCCUGAGAAGAAAGAUCUUAAUAUCCUUGAAGUACAAUAUAAUUAAAGUUUGAAUUUUAAUUAAUAUAGGAAUAUUAUAUAUAUAUAUAUAU